AAAACAAAGCAAUUCAUUGAAAUAAAAAAAAUAAAAAACACGCAGGUGCUGCCUCUUUUCACUUGUAUCAAAUUGUAGUCGCGCUUACCUCAAUGCAGGCGGAGUUGGUCUUCGACAUCCCAGGAUCGGUGUCUAUAAGAAACGAGUAUGCCUCAUAGAACUCGACCCAUGACUGCGCUCUUGUUGUUUACAUCGAUAAAUGCUGUUUUGUGUGCAACCAUUACUCCAGUCUAUGAUUUUGUUUGCUUUCUUCCUUACUGGGAAAGAAGGAGGGAAAGACGUCGUCAGGAACGUGAAACAUCUAACCAUCAAAGGAUCUAGCCUUUUAAUUGUCUUAUUUUCCUCUCAUAAUGUUCUUGCAAUAUGGAAUAUGUAUGAGUAGAAGUCUGAAUUCUUGGACCAACUUGGUAUCAUUCAUAGGCAUUUUAAAGGUAUUCUCAUUCUAACUUUACUCAGGUCAAAACCAAUAUUCUAUUGGAAAAGAUUUGGAUAGACUUCUUUUUAUUUCUUUCCUCAAAAUGAUCAUGUGUGCUUCAUUUGCAAACAAAUUUUCAGUCUCAUGCAUUUUUCAUUAUAUCCAACUAGCUAUUGGGACAGAAUAUGUUAGUGUAAAUUAUGGAAACGGGUACACGACACACGUUUACAACUGCCACAUAUUGGUUAUGGAAAUCUCUAAAGGCGCACAUAAUAAGAGAUAAGUAGGAUAUUUGUAUGUCUCAAUCCAGUAUUUGAUGAGGCAACAAUAUAUGAUAAUUAAUCAUAAAAUUUAUUUUGUAUCUCUAGUUGAAAUUUUUAUUCUGAAUUUGAGUUGGGUUCGAAACAA